CAGCGAUAACAUGAAAUAAUACAUCAAUAAUUGGUUAGGUGUUAAGUGGUCUUCUUAAUGCUCUGCCUACUAAGGGUGAUGUCACUGGAACCAUGAGGGUCUCCCCCGGGUUCCAGCACCAUCUUGUUACACAAGGUAGUUAGUCGGUGUUAUAGGGAGGAAGGGGUUAGAAGCUUCUUGUGGUCAUUUUGUCUAAAUAUACGUGAAUAGCUU